rnacentral:rRNA from 1 species
CAGCAGCCGCGGGAAUACGGAGGGGGCUAGCGUUGUUCGGAAUUACUGGGCGUAAAGCGCACGUAGGCGGCUUGGUAAGUUAGAGGUGAAAGCCCGGAGCUCAACUCCGGAAUUGCCUUUAAGACUGCCGAGCUAGUAGGUGAGAGAGGUAAGUGGAAUUCCGAGUGUAGAGGUGAAGUUCGUAGAUAUUCGGAAGAACACCAGUGGCGAAGGCGGCUUACUGGCUCAUUCUAGACGCUGAGGUGCGAAAGCGUGGGGAGCAAACAGGAUUAGAUACCCCAGUAGUCCCUGUCUCUUAUAC